GACGAACGCUGGCGGCGUGCUUAACACAUGCAAGUCGAGCGGUAAGGCCCUUUCGGGGGUACACGAGCGGCGAACGGGUGAGUAACACGUGGGUGACCUGCCCUCAGCUCUGGGAUAAGCCUGGGAAACCGGGUCUAAUACUGGAUAUGACUCCAUGACGCAUGUUGUGGGGUGGAAAGCCUUGUGCGGCUGAGGAUGGGGCCCGCGGCCUAUCAGCUUGUUGGUGGGGUGANGGCCUACCAAGGCGACGACGGGUAGCCGGCCU
rnacentral:rRNA from 1 species